UACGUAGGGGCUAGCGUUGUCCGGAAUCAUUGGGCGUAAAGCGCGUGUAGGCGGCCCGGUAAGUCCGCUGUGAAAGUCGGGGGCUCAACCCUCGAAUGCCGGUGGAUACUGUCGGGCUAGAGUACGGAAGAGGCGAGUGGAACUCCUGGUGGUAGCGGUGGAAUGCGCAGAUAUCGAGGAAGAACACCGACGGCGAAGGCAGCUCGCUGGGACGGUACUGACGCUGAGGCGCGAAGCGUGGGGAGCGAACAGGA
rnacentral:rRNA from 1 species